UAAACGACUCUCGGCAACGGAUAUCUCGGCUCACGCAUCGAUGAAGAACGUAGCAAAAUGCGAUACUUGGUGUGAACUGCAGAAUCCCGUGAACCAUCGAGUUUUUGAACGCAAGUUGCGCCCGAAGCCUUUUGGCCGAGGGCACGUCUGCCUGGGCGUCACAC
rnacentral:rRNA from 1 species